rnacentral:misc_RNA from 1 species
UUGUCACUCUUACAUAGGCAUUGUAC